CAGCACCCCGAGUUGUCGGGACGAUUAUUGGGCCUAAAGCAUCCGUAGCCUGUUCUGCAAGUCCUCCGUUAAAUCCACCCGCUUAACGGAUGGGCUGCGGGGGAUACUGCAGAGCUAGGAGGCGGGAGAGGCAAACGGUACUCAGUGGGUAGGGGUAAAAUCCAUUGAUCUACUGAAGACCACCAGUGGCGAAGGCGGUUUGCCAGAACGCGCUCGACGGUGAGGGAUGAAAGCUGGGGGAGCAAACCGGAUUAGAUACCCGGGUAGUCCCAGCUGUAAACGAUGCAGACUCGGUGAUGGGUUGGCCUCGAGCCAACCCAGUGCCGCAGGGAAGCCGUUAAGUCUGCCGCCUGGGGAGUACGGUCGCAAGACUGAA
rnacentral:rRNA from 1 species